rnacentral:rRNA from 1 species
AGCAGCCGCGGUAAUUCCAGCUCCAAUAGCGUAUAUUAAAGUUGUUGCAGUUAAAAAGCUCGUAGUUGAAUUUCGGGAUCAGUACGCUGGUCGUGCCUUUGGUAUGUACUGGUGUCACUGAUUCCUCCCUUCUGAAGAACCGUUAUGCCAUUUAUUUGGUGUGGCGGGAAAUCAGGACUGUUACUUUGAAAAAAUUAGAGUGUUUAAAGCAGGCUCGCGCUUGAAUACAUUAGCAUGGAAUAAUGAAAUAGGACGUUUGAUCUUAUUUUGUUGGUUUCUAGGAUCGACGUAAUGAUUAAUAGGGAUAGUUGGGGGCAUUAGUAUUCAAUUGUCAGAGGUGAAAUUCUUGGAUUUAUUGAAGACUAACUACUGCGAAAGCAUUUGCCAAGGAUGUUUUCAUUAAUCAAGAACGAAAGUUAGGGGAUCGAAGACGAUCAGAUACCGUCGUAGUCUU